rnacentral:rRNA from 1 species
UACAGAGGUGGCAAGCGUUGUUCGGAAUUACUGGGCGUAAAGGGCUCGUAGGUGGCCAACUAAGUCAGACGUGAAAUCCCCGUCGGCUUAACCGGGGAACUGCGUCUGAUACUGGAUGGCUUGAGUUCGGGAGAGGGAUGCGGAAUUCCAGGUGUAGCAGUGAAAUGCGUAGAGAUCGUGAGGAAGACCAGUGGCGAAGGCGGGUCUCUGGACAGUUCCUGACACUGAGGCACGAAGGCCAGGGGAGCAAACGGG